AGAGAUAGAGUUGUGCAAACUUUGUUUGCUAUGGCUCUUGAACCUAUAAGCGAAGUUAUGUCUGAUAGAUGCAGUUUUGCAUAUAGACCUUAUCGAAGUGCUAAAGAUGCCUGUCAAUAUAUUUGAUUUCUUUUAAGUAGACAGCGAGGCAACCCUAGAUGAAUUUUCGAAAGAGAUAUCAAGGGUUUCUUUGAUAAUAUAUGCCAUGAGUGAAUAUUAGAAAAUAUUCCUAUGGAUAAAAAGAUAUUGUCAAAAAUGUUAAAAGCUGGCGUUAUGAAUGAAGGCAGUUAUCAAGAUACUGAAGAAGGUAUUCCACAGGGUGGUGUAAUAUCUCCUAUUAUAGCUAAUUUAUGCCUUGAUGGUUUAGAUAAAACUAUAAAAAGGGCGUCUAAUAAUAAAGCAACUCUUGUGAGAUAUGCGGAUGAUUUCAUUAUAGUGUCCCAGAACUAUGAUAUUUUAGAUAAGUUAAUUCUAGAUGUUAACAAAUUUCUAAAAAUAAGAGGUUUAGAAUUAAAUAUGGAAAAAAGUAAAAUCACUAAAAUUGAAAAUGGAUUUGAUUUUGUAGGUUUCCACUUUAGGGAAUUCUCGGAUUCUACUCGAGAAAUCGGGGAAAAGAAAGGGAUUUUUCUAUACAAACCUACAAAAGAAAGCUUACAAAAAGUAAAAGCUAAAAUAAAACUUUGUGUCAAAGAACAUUCGCAACUUCCUCUGUGAAUGCUUUUCUCAAAACUAAAUCCAAUAUUAAGGGGCUGAGCAAAUUAUUACUCGUCUAGUACUGCAAAGUUAGCUUAUACCCGAAUAAGUAAAUACGUUUUUGAUUCCAUUCAUCGCAUGAUAAAAAUUAAGCAUCCAAAGCUUAAUGCUAAAGCGCUUAAAUCCAAAUUUUAUCACAAAGUGAAUAAUAGAGAUUGAUUAAUGUCUACUAGCACUGAAUUUAAAAGAUUUAAGAAAAUUAAUUUGUUUCAAAUAUCCGACACUCCUAUUAAAAGAACUACUAUGAUAAAACUUGACGCUAAUUCCUAUUUGGGUGAGUUUGAGGAGUAUUUUAAUAAAAGAUCUUUGAAUAUGUGUUUUAAUCAGCAAACGAAUAAUAUUCGAUUAAAGCUGGCAAAAAGACAAAAAGGUAUGUGCCCUAUAUGUAAAGAAUCUUUAAAUAGUCAAUAUGGAGAUAUAUUGUACGAAUUAGAAAUUCACCAUAUCAUACCUGUGGUGAGUGGAGGUAAAAAUAUAUUAAAAAAUAUGACUCUUCUUCAUAAAACGUGUCAUCGCGACAGAGCUGCGAAUGAGAUAAUUAUACUUAAGGAACUCGGCAAAUUUGCUCCGUACGUUCGCAACAAGGAGUACCUUAAAGGAUUCAAAAAUUAGGGGUAGCGACUGUUUAACAAAAACUCAAAACUUUGCAAAUUCGAAAGAAGACGUAUAAGGUUUGACGCCUGCCCAGUGCUUGAAAGCGAAAAAUACACGUUAACGCUUGUAUCAUAAACUCAAGUAAACGGCGGUCUUAACUAUAAGGAUCCUCAGGUAGCGAAAUUCCUUGGCGGGUAAAUUCCGUCCUGCAUGAAUGGCGUCACGACUACCCCACUGUCUCUAGUAUAAACUCAGCGAAAUUACAUUGUCUGUGAAAAUGCAGACAUCCUACAACAAGACGGAAAGACCCUAUGAUUCUUAACUAUAAUUUUACGUCGCAAUAAUUUUGUGUACAGUACAGUAAAAGUAGGAGUAUACUUAUACAAUUUUGAAAAACUACUCUGUACAUAAGAAAUUGCUUACUGAAGAGAAAAUAUGUAAAAGUGGUAGUUUACUUGGGACGAGGACCUCCUAAACUGUAACGGAGGUGCACAAAAGUAAAUUUUAAUUAGUUUUUUGUAUUAAUAAAAUAUGUAAUGGUAAAAAUUUGCUUGACGGUAAGAGUUACAACUCAAACCGGGACGAAAGUCGGUCAUAAUGAUCCGGCAGUAAUGUAUGGAAAUACUGUCGCUUAUCGGAAAAAAGAAACUCUAGGGAUAACAGAUUUAUCAUGGCUGAGAGUUCUUAUCGACGCCAUGGUUUGAUACCUCGAUGUCGGCUCAUCUUUUCCUGGAGCUGUAACAGGUUCCAAGGGUAUGGUUGUUCGCCAAAUAAUAAGAUACGUGAGCUGGGUUCAGAACGUCGUGAGACAGUUCGGUCCCUAUCUGUUGUGGGUAAGAAAAUGUACUUCUCGUAAAUAGCUAAUCUCCACUUUAGGGAUUAAACUAAUAUUACAGGUAGGAAGCUAGUUCAUACAGAUCUAGUGGGCCUAUGCAUUACUCCUAAUGCUGAUCAAUGAGCUGUGUUACAAGCAGUGAACCCUAUGCAACGUGAAAAUAGUCAUUCACGGAGUAUAAGCAGGGCAUAAAUUUAAGUGGAUGUUACUUAUAAACAUUUUAACUCGAAGAGAAUAUAUAAAUCAGUAAAUCUGUC
rnacentral:rRNA from 1 species